ensembl:snRNA U2 U2 spliceosomal RNA
AUCACUUCUCGGCCUCUUGGCUAGGAUCAAGCGUAGUAUCUGUUCUUACCAGUUUAAUAAGUCUUAUUGGGCAGUGAGGACACCGCCCUACCCGCACAGUCCCAGUGGGAGCCCCCCUGCCUAUGAGAGAACACAGGGGGAGACAGAGGACCCCUC